rnacentral:rRNA from 1 species
GAUGAACGCUAGCGGCAGGCCUAACACAUGCAAGUCGAGGGGUAAGCGUAGCUUGCUACGCCUAGACCGGCGCACGGGUGCGUAACGCGUGUACAAUCUACCUUUUACUGGGGAAUAGCCCGAAGAAAUUUGGAUUAAUGUCCCAUAGUAUAGAGCAGUGGCAUCACAGCACUAUUAAAGCUUCGGUGGUAAGAGAUGAGUACGCGUUCUAUUAGUUAGUUGGUGAGGUAACGGCUCACCAAGGCUAUGAUAGAUAGGGGUUCUGAGAGGGAUGUCCCCCACACUGGUACUGAGAUACGGACCAGACUCCUACGGGAGGCAGCAGUGAGGAAUAUUGGUCAAUGGUCGGAAGACUGAACCAGCCAUGCCGCGUGCAGGAUGACGGCCUUAUGGGUUGUAAACUGCUUUUGUAUGGGAAGAAUAAGGGGUACGUGUACUCGAGACGGUACU